rnacentral:siRNA from 1 species
UGUCAAGUCUGUCGAUCAGAUGU